ACUCCUACGGGAGGGCAGCAGUGGGAAUAUUGCACAAUGGGGGAAACCUGAUGCAGCCAUGCCGCGUGUGUGAAGAAGGCCUUCGGGUUGUAAAGCACUUUCAGUUAGGGAGGAAGGUAGUGUAGUUAACACCUGCAUUAUUUGACGUUACCCUACAGAAGAAGCCACCGGCUAACUCCGGUGCCAGCAGCCGCGGUAAUACGGAGGGUGCGAGCGUUAAUCGGAAUUACUGGGCGUAAAGCGCAUGCAGGCGGCCUGUUAAGUCAGAUGUGAAAGCCCGGGGCUUAACCUCGGAAUUGCAUUUUGAAAACUGGCAGGCUAGAGUCUUGUAGAGGGGGGUG
rnacentral:rRNA from 1 species